rnacentral:rRNA from 1 species
AACAGGAUUAGAUACCCUGGUAGUCCACGCCGUAAACGAUGUCGACUUGGAGGUUGUGCCCUUGAGGCGUGGCUUCCGGAGCUAACGCGUUAAGUCGACCGCCUGGGGAGUACGGCCGCAAGGUUAAAACUCAAAUGAAUUGACGGGGGCCCGCACAAGCGGUGGAGCAUGUGGUUUAAUUCGAUGCAACGCGAAGAACCUUACCUACUCUUGACAUCCAGAGAACUUAGCAGAGAUGCUUUGGUGCCUUCGGGAACUCUGAGACAGGUGCUGCAUGGCUGUCGUCAGCUCGUGUUGUGAAAUGUUGGGUUAAGUCCCGCAACGAGCGCAACCCUUAUCCUUUGUUGCCAGCGGUUAGGCCGGGAACUCAAAGGAGACUGCCAGUGAUAAACUGGAGGAAGGUGGGGAUGACGUCAAGUCAUCAUGGCCCUUACGAGUAGGGCUACACACGUGCUACAAUGGCAUAUACAAAGAGGAGCGACCUCGCGAGAGCAAGCGGACCUCAUAAAGUAUGUCGUAGUCCGGAUUGGAGUCUGCAACUCGGCUCCAUGAAGUCGGAAUCGCUAGUAAUCGUGGAUCAGAAUGCCACGGUGAAUACGUUCCCGGGCCUUGUACACACCGCCCGUCACACCAUGGGAGUGGGUUGCAAAAGAAGUAGGUAGCUUAACCUUCGGGAGGGCGCUUACCACUUUGUGAUUCAUGACUGGGGUGAAGUCGUAACAAGGUAACC